GGCUUUUCACAAUGAGAAGCAAUGGGAUAACAUGAAUAGAUAAUGGAAGGUGUUGAGUCAGUGGAUGAGUUUGCAGUCCAUCUCUAUUGUUAUGUACCUUUUUUUGUACUUCAACGAAUGCAAAUCAUGUACUUUUUGAACUUCAGUUUGACUUGCUUCCAUGAACAUUUACCAAAUACCCACUGGGCAAAAAUGGCACUGCCCUCAGUUCAGCCCAGGAUGUUUCAUUUGAUCAAGAAUCUAUUUAGAGAAGGGGCUGGAAUAUUCUGGAGCUGUGCCUGCAAUGAGAAAGAUACAACAGUUCUCUGUGUGCCGGGAACAGAGAACUGCCUCCCCGACCCCGCCAAAAAAAAAAAAAAGCCCAAUAGAAGAAUGAAGGUGCCAUGUUGACUGUGACAGUCCUCUUCACGCCGUCACUGAACGAAAGAGCCCCGGUGUCUUCUGUCUUUCUGUCCCAUGGAGUUCUGCCUUGGUGCUGCAAUCUGUUGCCUGUUGUCAGGGUCAGCAGGUCUCAGAUGUGCACACAACCCUCCAAACCGGGGCUUCGAGGAGACCGCAGCUGUCUUCUGGGAGAGGAAGGGGCUGCUCAGGGUCGAGCAGCUCCUAGCGCAUUAAUUAGAGCCUGUAUCCCAACUGCUGCACUUGCUGUGCCUGGCGGCUCUGGGACAAGCUGUUGGGAAACUGAGACCACAUGGUGAAGAAUCUGUUUGGCGAAAGGGCUGGAAGAUUCCGGGGCUGUGCCUGCAAUGAGGGAUAUACAACAGUUCUCCCUAUGCCUGGAACAGAGAACCUCCUCUCAAAAAAAAAAAAAAAAAAAAGCCAGACCAAAGAAGAACUAAGGUGAAGAAUUUCCUGUGAUCAUGUUAUGCUAUGUGCAUGCACAGCAGAGAUGGAACACAUUUUAUAUUUUCCAAUUCAAAAAUCAGGGCAUGGCAUUUAACAAAACAUAUUCUUUCCAGUUUCUGAAUUUGUGUACAUGCAAUACCUUAAAAUGAUAUGAAAUGAAAUUAUACUUCGUCACAAAUUGAAGUAAAUGAAUUUAUUACAAUUAUAACAUUGCAUGAAAUUGGAAGUGUCUUGGGAAAUCUGGAAUGAAUGAACACUGUGUUUUCAACUGAAGCGUAUCUGAGAAGAGCUGAGGAACAAAACUUUACAAAUCAUGAGUUUAUUAGUUUCUUCCUGAAUCAGUGGUUGAGGGAGGAGGAAAAAGGAGAGAACAAAUUCCCUUCUGAGAGGUGGGGUCAGUGAGAGAGAUGCCCUUGCAAUGUAUUUGAGUGUAAAGGAUGAGGAAGCUGGGACCUUGGGGAACUGACCCCCUGAUUUUCAACUCUGUGUCUCAGGAGAACCUCAGUUUCCUGAUCUGCAAAGUGCACACAGAAUUGCUAUGAGCUGAUAUCCACUGGGUACCAGUGUCUGUCCCUGAUGGGUCUUGCAUGAAUCUUUUCUUCCUUGACCCCAUUUCAGGUGAUGUAUGCAAAGAUGCUCCCACUUUUGCAAGGUGCCCUGUCACUGAAAACACCUUGCAAUUUCGCUGGCAUCUGGGGAUGGAAUAGACAUGGGCAUUUGGGCCUCCUUCAGAAGGGCAAUGAGGCCAAGCCCCGUCAAACAGGACAAGCCAAGCUGCUGCUGGUCAGUGCCCCUGUGCACCAGUAAUGGGCUGGGCCUUUUGCUGGCUGGAGAGGAAGCUCUAAACAGUCUGGAAGUAGAGAAAUGUUUCUGUUGAACUAGGCUAGAGUGAGAGCUUGAUAAUUUUGGAAGAGUGAACAUCAAGAGCAGUAAAGAGGGAAAAAAUGUAAACACAAAUGACCCGCGGAGCUCCCGGUACAUUUUGUCUGCCCCGAAGAGCAGCCUUGGCAGGAAGACUGUGAGAACCUCAAUCAUGAUCACGAGGACCUUCCCAGCCUUGGCUGAUCCAGCAGUGGGCUCCUUUAGGGACUUAGAAGGGCAUUUUAUAAGCUACUCACCGAGGACCUCCUGCUAGGGGUAGGGCAGAGAUUCUUGUCAUUUCCACCUAAGCCCAGCUUUCAAUGCUGUCAAUUCUGGGUACCCUGGCUUCUUCUACAGAGGUCUCUGUCUUUUAAAUUUUGUCACUUACACUACUUGCUUCAAUGACUUUGAACUUGGCGUGCCGUUCUGUGGCUUUGCUGCUGUCUGAAUCACAUGCUUUUGCCUGCAUUACCAAGCAGGGCUUGGAGCCCAGUCUCAGGAGGAGGUGGCCAAUGCUUCCCAUUCCAGUUACCAAGGCUAGCUGGGGGCUUGUAUCAUCACUAGCACACUCUCUUCCUCAAGUUCUCUUUUCUCAUUCUAAAUUAACCUUCAAAAAAGUUUCCAAGCGGGGUCUUGGGAGGAGUUCAAGUCAAUUCAAAUUAAUGAGUAUUUGAGAACCUACUAUGUGGCCAGGCAUGCUGUGGGAUACCAGGGUGAGUCAAACCUUAGUUUGUACUCCCCUAGGCUUUGCAUGCCUAGAGAGGAAACAGUGCCAACAGGCUGGGAGUACAGGCAGACUGAUGGAAUGGAAACAGUUCAUUGUUCUCAUAUUCAUUCAAAAAAUGUUUAUUGAGCACCCACUAUGUGCGAUGCACCUUUCAGUACCUUGGGGCUAUAGCAAAGGGCACAAUUAUGGGAUCUAAGAUCAGACAGAAUUGAGUCAAAGCCCAGCCUUUGACAUGAGCGUGUUCUUGGGCAAGUCCCCUGAACACGCUGAUCUCCAGAUUUCUCAUUUUUAAAAUGUAAACCAUAACAUAUUAAUAUUAAUAAUACUAUUUUGCAGUGUUCUUGUGAAAUCAAGAUGUAGGUAUGAUAGGCAUGCAAUAAAUGUGGCUGGUUGUU